AUGCAUGUAUGUAUGCAUGUAUGCAUGUAUGCAUGUAUUCAUGUAUGUAUGCAUGUAUGCAUGUAU
ensembl:miRNA Gm26250 predicted gene, 26250